rnacentral:rRNA from 1 species
AUGCACUUUCAUGAUUUUUUAUUACAAAUGAUCACAUCUCGUUGUGUGCUCUUAUCAUUUUUUUUAAGAAAAUGUUGUGUGAUCUAUCAGCAGCGCGCAGCUCACGACACAGGUAUUUGCAAUUCUCCACCCUGUUGCAUGCGGUUUACAUCUUGCGAGACAGUUGAAUAUGACAAAAAAAAUGUCAUGCCGUUUACUUCUAUUUGUGUCGCAGUUCACUUUCCUCCCAAUGUGUUUCGAAAGCAGCUAUUUGCAUCAGAACCUAAAAGUGUGCUUGGUCUUAUGGACUCCUCUGUUGUACACUUGGUAAAUACAAAAUAA